UGAAAGCUUACUUGCUGUGCUGCUCUAUAUUGAUAUAUACCAAUUGCCUGCCUAUUCUUUAUUAAACAAGCAUUAAAGGAAACUUAAGUCUAAAUUAUAAAAAUCAUAGCAUUUGAAGUAAUACUUGUCUUUGAAAAAAAAAAUGAUCUUCUAAUCUUCACUACUUUCCAUCACAUAAAUAUAAACAUUGAAAAUAUAUUCUCAAAUUGC